rnacentral:rRNA from 1 species
ACAGAGGGUGCGAGCGUUGUCCGGAAUCACUGGGCGUAAAGGGCGCGUAGGUGGCGGCCCAAGUCUGUGGUGAAAGCUCGCCGCUUAACGGCGAGUCGGCCACGGAUACUGGGUGGCUCGAGCACUGUAGGGGCAGAUGGAAUUCCGGGUGUAGCGGUGGAAUGCGUAGAGAUCCGGAAGAACACCAGUGGCGAAGGCGGUCUGCUGGGCAGUAGCUGACACUGAGGCGCGACAGCGUGGGGAGCAAACAGGA